rnacentral:rRNA from 1 species
UACAGAGGUCCCGAGCGUUGUUCGGAUUCACUGGGCGUAAAGGGUGCGUAGGUGGUGAGGUAAGUCGGAUGUGAAAUCUCCAGGCUCAACCUGGAAACUGCAUUGGAAACUACCUUGCUGGAGGAUUUGAGGGGGGGAUUGGAAUACUUGGUGUAGCAGUGAAAUGCGUAGAUAUCAAGUGGAACACCAGUGGCGAAGGCGAAUCCCUGGAAAAUACCUGACACUGAGGCACGAAGGCCAGGGGAGCAAACGGG